GUGCUCGCUUCAGCAGCACAUAUACUAAAAUUGGAAUGAUACAGAGAUUAGCAUGGCCCCUGUGCAA
rnacentral:snRNA from 10 species